GUUUUCGGAUAAUCGCGGUUUGACUAGAUCAAGCUGAGGAAAGUCCAUGCUCACACAGACUGAGAUGUCUGUAGUGUUCGUGCCUAGCGAAACGAUAAGCUAGGGUAUUUCGUAGGAAAUAACGGCAGGAAAAAAAGCUAAGGUGUCAAAGCUAUGCUUGAGUAUCCUUGAAAGUGCCACAGUGACGAAGCGUUUAGAGAAAUCUAAACGGUGGAACGCGGUAAACCCCUCGAGUGAGCAACCCAAACAUUAUGGUAGGGGCACUUUUUGGAGCGGAAAUGAACGAGACAAAGAGGCAAUAAGCAAUUAUUGCAGAUAGAUGAUUAUCCAUAUUAUUUUUCCCUGUAAAAUAAUUGGACAAAACAUGGCUUAUAGAA
rfam:Enterococcus aquimarinus strain DSM 17690 Scaffold1, whole genome shotgun sequence.